rnacentral:rRNA from 1 species
GACGAACGCUGGCGGCGUGCUUAACACAUGCAAGUCGAACGCUGAAGCUUGGUGCUUGCACUGGGUGGAUGAGUGGCGAACGGGUGAGUAAUACGUGAGUAACCUGCCCUUGACUCUGGGAUAAGCCUGGGAAACUGGGUCUAAUACUGGAUAUGACAUGACACUGCAUGGUGGUGUGUGGAAAGGGUUUUACUGGGUUUGGAUGGGCUCACGGCCUAUCAGCUUGUUGGUGGGGUAAUGGCCUACCAAGGCGACGACGGGUAGCCGGCCUGAGAGGGUGACCGGCCACACUGGGACUGAGACACGGCCCAGACUCCUACGGGAGGCAGCAGUGGGGAAUAUUGCACAAUGGGCGGAAGCCUGAUGCAGCGACGCCGCGUGAGGGAUGACGGCCUUCGGGUUGUAAACCUCUUUCAGCACGGAAGAAGCGAGAGUGACGGUACGUGCAGAAGAAGCGCCGGCUAACUACGUG